rnacentral:piRNA from 1 species
UAAAUCUAAAGUUGUGGGUCAAAAGUC